AGCGGUGGUCCUCCUCGCCACUAGGGGGCUCAAUGGCUUACUCCAGCUCUUUAAUCUGUUUCUCCAUCUUUCCUUUUUCUUUAAUUUAAAAUCCCACUUCUGGGCACCAAUGUGGCGAGCGCUCGCGGAAAGAUGCAAGUGAGUCAGAUUAUAUUAAUUUACAACCCUUGCGUCCCUUAAUCCGCACGACCACAAGGUGUACAGUAUUUAUUUAGAAUCAGACAUGAACACUCAAUAUCAGAAUACUGGCCAGACAUAGCCAAACACACUAAGAUACUCAGUCGCGGUGGUUAAAGUAUUAGUAAAAGUUAACAUGAACUUGACACUAUUAUCAGUCACACACACACUGGAAACCACAGAAGGCAAGUGAACAUGCACAUAACAACACUAAAACAUGACUUUUAUCUUAACCAUAAACAGUCCCAUGAGCCUUUGUGCUAACUAGCUCAACUAGAAUGAUGUCUCCCUCCUCUGGUCGCUACAAUAUGUUUGUUGUUGAUUGGUAGCCUAUCAGAGCAAGACAAAGCAGCUGCCCUGUUCACAAUCAAUCAGCUUCAGCGACUAGGCCCUAAGGCAAAAUGGAUGCAAAUGCAAAAAAACAGUUACAGGCGAAAGUGUCAGCAAAGGACAGCUCUGUUCAAUUGCACGAGCUGUCCGGGAAAUCCGGAAAUAUCGUAGGGUGGCUGUAAAUGAAAAAGUAACUGAAUACGUUGCUUGUAAAGAGUGCCAAACUAUCUUAAAAUAUCAACCCGAGAGUGGCACUAGCGGGCUACAGCGUCAUAGCCUCGCCUGCAAGCAGCAUGCGCCGACAACGAGUGGCAUGCAGCCUUUAAUCUCGAAUUGUUUGAGGGAAAAAAAGGUGCCAGAGGUUGAAAAGUCACGCGUAGCGGGUAAGGUGGCCCGGAUGUCGGCCACCGACCUAAGGCCGUUCUCACUUGUUGAAGGCCGUGGCUUUAAUGAAGUGGCACAGACACUCAUCAAAAUAGGAGCCAAAUAUGGCAAUGUAGGGGUGGAGGACGUCCUGCCCUCUGCUCGGACCGUGAGCAGGUACGUAAAAGAGGAGUACGAGGCUGUGAAGACUUCGGUUGUGGACACGUUGAAACAGGUAAGCUAACACAAACAUAUUGGCAUUUUGUUGGAUCAAGGGUUAUUGGAAGUUUGGUUGUGUUUAGUUGUAUGAAAGCACAGUUUUUAUAGCCAUGCGUGUUCACUUAUGGCUCCUGUCCUGGCUAUGAAAUUAGUAGCCUACUAUAGCGAGCUAUUUGACAUCUUUAGUCUGUUAUACUGUAGCCUGCAUUUUCUAUUGUGUUUUAAACUAAAAUUCUAGUUAAUGGGCCCUGUUCCAGUGGUUGAGAUUAGAGAAACAUUUGGUUGCUGUUUCAGGAAAUGAAUUGUGCUUCUAAAAAUAUGUCUCUACUUAAAACAAUGAGAUUCUCUUGUUUUUUUUCCUUAGUGUUCCCCGACUUGUCAGUCCAUCACAACUGAUCUGUGGACAGAGGAGAAAACUAAUACAGCAUACAUCACAGUCACCGUGCACUUUAUUCAUGAUUGGGCCAUGGUGAAUCGUGUCCUGGCUACGCGUGAGAUGUAUGCCAUAAAGGAUCAACACAACAUCCGAUACACUGUGGACUCAAUUCUCCAGGAAUUUUCCAUCCAAGGCAGGGAAGUCGUGUUUGUAACAGACAACGGCUCGAAUGUAAAGGCAGCAUUCAAAGACCCCGUGCGUCUGUCUUGUGCAGGGCACAAAAUCAACCUCGUCCUGAAAUCAUCAACCUGUUGAGCGAUGCCAAGAAUUUGGUCACACAUUUCAAAAGAGCAGGGCUACAGAAGAAGUUGGAUCGUUCCCUGAAACAAGCUGUAACAUACGGGGGAACACCAAACUGCUAAUGCUGGAGUCAAUUAGAGAUGCCAUGCAGUCUGGAAAGCUACACGAGGUGCUGCUGCAAAGGAACGAAUUGAGAUUUGUUGUCAACUGCAUUGACUCGGACCUCUUCAGACUCCUUCAACCUUUUGAUGAGGCCACAAGGCACCUAUCAAGCGAGAGGGCCCCCACCCUGCACCUUGUCCUGCCAACCAAAGUGACACUGCUCAGAGGCUUAGCACCUCAAAAUGAUGAUGGGGACAUUGUGAAAGAGUUGAAAAGCAUGUUAGCUGAGGCAGUGGAGCUGAAAUUCCUGAUCCACCGCUAUCAUUUGGUUGCCACAGCUCUAAGCCCAAGCCUGAGGUUAUUCCUAAAAAAAAAACAGUGAAUCCACAGCAGUUUGAGGAAGUUGUUCAGGAAAUGGUGACCAUGGUUGGUGGAGCAGCAAAAAAGCUUAUUAGUUUUGUUCUGUGUCUGAGUUAUACUACCCCAGCCCCAGAUGUUUAACCCUAUGGGCCUUAUGGAAGAUUCAUG